AUGAACGCUGGCGGCGUGCCUAAUCCAUGCAAGUCGAGCGAACGGACGAGAAGCUUGCUUUUCUGAUGUUAGCGGCGGACGGGUGAGUAACACGUGGAUAACCUACCUAUAAGACUGGGAUAACUUCGGGAAACCGGAGCUAAUACCGGAUAAUAUUUUGAACCGCAUGGUUCAAAAGUGAAAGACGGUCUUGCUGUCACUUAUAGAUGGAUCCGCGCUGCAUUAGCUAGUUGGUAAGGUAACGGCUUACCAAGGCAACGAUGCAUAGCCGACCUGAGAGGGUGAUCGGCCACACUGGAACUGAGACACGGUCCAGACUCCUACGGGAGGCAGCAGUAGGGAAUCUUCCGCAAUGGGCGAAAGCCUGACGGAGCAACGCCGCGUGAGUGAUGAAGGUCUUCGGAUCGGAAAACUCUGUUAUUAGGGAAGAACAUAUGUGUAAGUAACUGUGCACAUCUUGACGGUACCUAAUCAGAAAGCCACGGCUAACUACG
rnacentral:rRNA from 1 species